AAGACCUUGUGCUUUUGGAGCGGCCGAUGCCUGAUUAGCUAGUUGGUAGGGUAAAGGCCUACCAAGGCUACGAUCAGUAGUUGGUCUGAGAGGACGACCAGCCACACUGGGACUGAGACACGGCCCAGACUCCUACGGGAGGCAGCAGUGGGGAAUUUUGGACAAUGGGCGCAAGCCUGAUCCAGCAAUGCCGCGUGAGUGAAGAAGGCCUUCGGGUUGUAAAGCUCUUUCAGUUGAGAAGAAAAGGUUGUGGUAAAUAAUCACAAUUGAUGACGGUAUCGACAGAAGAAGCACCGGCUAACUACGUGCCAGCAGCCGCGGUAAUACGUAGGGUGCGAGCGUUAAUCGGAAUUACUGGGCGUAAAGGGUGCGCAGGCGGCUUUGUAAGUCAGAUGUGAAAUCCCCGGGCUUAACCUGGGAAUU
rnacentral:rRNA from 1 species